rnacentral:rRNA from 1 species
CCUACGGGAGGCAGCAGUGAGGAAUAUUGGUCAAUGGGGGCAACCCUGAACCAGCCAAGUCGCGUGAAGGAAGACGGUCCUAUGGUUUGUAAACCUCUUUUAUCGGGGAGCAAAAGACGCCACGCGUGGCGUUCCGAAAGUACCCCAAGAAAAAGGAUCGGCUAACUCCGUGCCAGCAGCCGCGGUAAUACGGAGGAUCCGAGCGUUAUCCGGAUUUAUUGGGUUUAAGGGGUGCGCAGGCGGAAGCUCAAGCUGGCGGUAAAAUUGGGAGGUUCAACCUCGUCGUGCAGUUGAAACUGGUGGUCUUGAGUGAGUGAGAGGUAGGCGGAAUGCGUGGUGUAGCGGUGAAAUGCAUAGAUAUCACGCAGAACUCCGAUUGCGAAGGCAGCCUACCGGAGCGUAACUGACGCUCAGGCACGAAAGUGUGGGUAUCGAACAGGAUUAGAUACCCUUGUAGUC